rnacentral:rRNA from 1 species
UUUUUAUCAAAACUAAUAUAAUUUGGCGGCAUCUUAUUUUAUUAGAGGAACCUGUUUAUUGAUCGAUACCCCACGAUAAUACUCACUUUUAUUUAAAUUUUAUAUACCGCCGUGUCAGAAUUAACUAAAAAGUAUCAUUCUAAACUAUUCAUAAAAAUAAUAGGUAAAGGUGUAGACUAUAUAUUAGCUUAAAUGGGUUACAUUAAAAAAAAUUUAAGGAUUAUAUAUUUAAAUAUUUUUUAAAGAGGAUUUAUCAGUAUUAAAUAUAAUAAUAUUUUUAUUUGAAAAAAWUWAAAA